rnacentral:rRNA from 1 species
AUUGAACGCUGGCGGCAGGCCUAACACAUGCAAGUCGAACGAGUGGCGGACGGGUGAGUAAUGUCUGGGAAACUGCCUGCUGGAGGGGGAUAACUACUGGAAACGGUAGCUAAUACCGCAUACCAUCAGAUGUGCCCAGACGGGAUUAGCUAGUUGGUGGGGUAACGGCUCACAAAGGCGACAAUCCCUAGCUGGUCUGAGAGGAUGACCAGCAAAACUGGAACUGAGACACGGUCCGGAGUCCUAGGGGAGGAAGCAGUGGGGAAUAUUGCACAAUGGGGGAAGGCCUGAGGCUGCAAUGCCGCGUGUAUGAGGAAGGCCUUCGGGUUGUAAAGUACUUUCAGCGGGGAGGCGUUACCCGAAGAAGAAGCACCGGCUAACUCCGUGCCAGCAGCCGCGGUAAUAC